rnacentral:lncRNA from 1 species
GUCAUACACCUGCACCCGGGAGGAAAGGCGAGGCUCUGCAUCUAGAUUUACCUCGUUCUCUUUUGUCUCCGCUUUUUUUUCACAUUUCCUUGCGACCCUGGCCCUUGAGCGACAAAAAGGGGAAGCCAAGGCUGGCCCGAGGAACGGAGAGGGCACAUGGCCUAGCCACAAGUGGAGCUUCUGCUCCGCCCGAAGGGAUGCGCUGGAGCGGCCUCUUCCUUCUGCCACGGUCUUUCUUUGCCAACUAGUAGGUGAGGGCCGAAAGGCCGCGGGCCGUGGAGCUCGGGCCGGGGAGACUCUUUUCUAGCCUCUUGGGUCCCGCUCCUCCCAAUUCCCUGGAGAGGCGUCGAGCUUGCUGGGAAGUGCCCUCGGGUAAGGGGCGCGGAGCCUCCUGCGGCGAUCCUCUGUCUUCGGGUCGCCUUAGCAGGACGCGGCAAGCGGGACACUGACCUGGCCGGAGUCCCGCGUUCUCUCACCAGCUGCUUUGUCCACGAGUUGCUGCUGGGCGUCAGGGGUCCCACGGCCCGGAGGGAUCUAGAGCAGGGGGGCUCGGGGUCCUUUCCAUACCCUCGGAUCCUCUCCCACUCUCUCCACGCCUCGACCCGGAGAUGAUUUCAGGCUCCAGAUCUCUUUCAUAAAUGGAAAGAGUUUU